AUGAACAUCAUCUUGGUCGGCCUAUUAACCAACAUUGAUCCAAUUCACAUCGAUGAUCCUCUUUGCCCUGCUAACAACGUGCGCAAGAAUUAUUUCCGGGUCCACCACUGCAUCAAGAGCUUUUGGAGUUGUGGCAAUGCUGUGAUUAUGCUCUUUUAUCUGGCUUUUGCUGAUGCUUUUGCAGUUCUAGAGAACGAGCUACUGCAGUUCAUUGCAGAAUUAAAAAGAACCUAUGAUUCCACGAGCUGCAGGAACUGUUGGGUUGGAAUGGCCUCCUGUGUUCUAGACACCGAGUUACUACUGCAGCUGGUGGAAAAGGAGGCGGAGGAAUUGGAUGAUUCGAGAGCAAGAUGGGGGGUGCACUCUGCACACAUAAGGUACUGUACCUGUCACUUCCGUAACACGAGCUUAUCUAAUCACUUUGGAUUGUUGACGUGGCAAAGGAUGACCGGGAUUGGGGAGGAAACGCCCGCGGGUGGGCAGGCCCAGUUUGCGGCAUUAACAACCCUCUGGUCAGAAGCCACUGUUGGUGUCGCCCGUCGCCUCAUCGUCGCGGGAGGGAUAAUGAACUGGUUCGGCUUUGGUGUGAAUUGGCUUGGAUUUGUUGCCUGCCUUGCAACUUCAGAUCUGUUGGGUGGGUCCUGGACAUCAGUUCUGUUCUUAACAAAGUUCCAAAUUUGGGUGGAAGAUCUUGAUCAACAUAUUGGUGCUUCUUUUAAGGAGAGCACAGGAGAUGGAGGAACUGGUAUCAUUAUUGGGGACACCUCGAAGCUUGCAUUGAGUGUUCAUGUUGCUGAUGGGGCUAUGGCGGAAGCCUUUUGCGUUGAGAGAAGGUCUCCUCACGUGGAUACUAAUUCUUUCACUAUUCAUAAUGAUUGUCUUCGGGAGGGUUCAAACUAUUAA
rnacentral:rRNA from 1 species